UACGAAGGGGGCUAGCGUUGCUCGGAAUUACUGGGCGUAAAGGGAGCGUAGGCGGAUAGUUUAGUCAGAGGUGGAAUCCCGGGGCUCAACCUCGGAACUGCCUUUGAUACUGGCUGUCUUGAGUAUGGGAGAGGUGUGUGGAACUCCGAGUGUAGAGGUGAAAUUCGUAGAUAUUCGGAAGAACACCAGUGGCGAAGGCGACACACUGGCCCAUUACUGACGCUGAGGCUCGAAAGCGUGGGGAGCAAACAGG
rnacentral:rRNA from 1 species